AUUGAACGCUGGCGGCAGGCCUAACACAUGCAAGUCGAACGGUAGCACAGAGAGCUUGCUCUCGGGUGACGAGUGGCGGACGGGUGAGUAACGUCUGGGAAACUGCCCGAUGGAGGGGGAUAACUACUGGAAACGGUAGCUAAUACCGCAUAACGUCGCAAGACCAAAGUGGGGGACCUUCGGGCCUCACACCAUCGGAUGUGCCCAGAUGGGAUUAGCUAGUAGGUGGGGUAAUGGCUCACCUAGGCGACGAUCCCUAGCUGGUCUGAGAGGAUGACCAGCCCAACUCGAACUGAGACACGAUCCAGACUCCUACGGGAGGCAGCAGUGGGGAAUAUUGCACAAUGGGCGCAAGCCUGAUGCAGCCAUGCCGCGUGUAUGAAGAAGGCCUUCGGGUUGUAAAGUACUUUCAGCGGGGAGGAAGGCGGUGAAGUUAAUAGCUUCACCGAUUGACGUUACCCGCAGAAGAAGCACCGGCUAACUCCGUGCCAGCCGCCGCAGUAA
rnacentral:rRNA from 1 species